rnacentral:rRNA from 1 species
AAGGAAUAUUGGUCAAUGGACGCAAGUCUGAACCAGCCAUGCCGCGUGAAGGAUGAAGGUCCUCUGGAUUGUAAACUUCUUUUAUCUGGGACGAAAACGGGAUUUUUAUCUCAAUUGACGGUACCAGAGGAAUAAGCACCGGCUAACUCCGUGCCAGCAGCCGCGGUAAUACGGAGGGUGCGAGCGUUAUCCGGAUUUACUGGUUUUAAAGGGUGCGUAGGUGGGCUUAUAAGUCAGUGGUGAAAUCUCCGAGCUUAACUUGGAAACUGCCGUUGAUACUAUAGGUCUUGAAUUAUCUGGAGGUAAGCGGAAUAUGUCAUGUAGCGGUGAAAUGCUUAGAUAUGACAUAGAACACCAAUUGCGAAGGCAGCUUACUACAUAUAAAUUGACGCUGAGGCACGAAAGCGUGGGGAUCAAACA